UACGUAGGGUGCAAGCGUUGUCCGGAAUUAUUGGGCGUAAAGAGCUCGUAGGCGGUCUGUCGCGUCGAAUGUGAAAACCCGGGGCUCAACCCCGGGCCUGCAUUCGAUACGGGCAGACUAGAGUUCGGUAGGGGAGUCUGGAAUUCCUGGUGUAGCGGUGAAAUGCGCAGAUAUCAGGAGGAACACCGGUGGCGAAGGCGGGUCUCUGGGACGGUACUGACGCUGAGACGCGAAAGCGUGGGGAGCGAACAGG
rnacentral:rRNA from 1 species